AGUUUGAUCCUGGCUCAGGACGAACGCUGGCGGCGUGCCUAAUACAUGCAAGUAGAACGCUGAAGAGAGGAGCUUGCUCUUCUUGGAUGAGUUGCGAACGGGUGAGUAACGCGUAGGUAACCUGCCUUGUAGCGGGGGAUAACUAUUGGAAACGAUAGCUAAUACCGCAUAACAAUGGAUGACACAUGUCAUUUAUUUGAAAGGGGCAAUUGCUCCACUACAAGAUGGACCUGCGUUGUAUUAGCUAGUAGGUGAGGUAACGGCUCACCUAGGCGACGAUACAUAGCCGACCUGAGAGGGUGAUCGGCCACACUGGGACUGAGACACGGCCCAGACUCCUACGGGAGGCAGCAGUAGGGAAUCUUCGGCAAUGGGGGCAACCCUGACCGAGCAACGCCGCGUGAGUGAAGAAGGUUUUCGGAUCGUAAAGCUCUGUUGUAAGUCAAGAACGAGUGUGAGAGUGGAAAGUUCACACUGUGACGGUAGCUUAUCAGAAAGGGACGGCUAACUACGUGCCAGCAGCCGCGGUAAUACGUAGGUCCCGAGCGUUGUCCGGAUUUAUUGGGCGUAAAGCGAGCGCAGGCGGUUUGAUAAGUCUGAAGUUAAAGGCUGUGGCUCAACCAUAGUUCGCUUUGGAAACUGUCAAACUUGAGUGCAGAAGGGGAGAGUGGAAUUCCAUGUGUAGCGGUGAAAUGCGUAGAUAUAUGGAGGAACACCGGUGGCGAAAGCGGCUCUCUGGUCUGUAACUGACGCUGAGGCUCGAAAGCGUGGGGAGCGAACAGGAUUAGAUACCCUGGUAGUCCACGCCGUAAACGAUGAGUGCUAGGUGUUGGAUCCUUUCCGGGAUUCAGUGCCGCAGCUAACGCAUUAAGCACUCCGCCUGGGGAGUACGACCGCAAGGUUGAAACUCAAAGGAAUUGACGGGGGCCCGCACAAGCGGUGGAGCAUGUGGUUUAAUUCGAAGCAACGCGAAGAACCUUACCAGGUCUUGACAUCCCGAUGCUAUUUCUAGAGAUAGAAAGUUACUUCGGUACAUCGGUGACAGGUGGUGCAUGGUUGUCGUCAGCUCGUGUCGUGAGAUGUUGGGUUAAGUCCCGCAACGAGCGCAACCCCUAUUGUUAGUUGCCAUCAUUCAGUUGGGCACUCUAGCGAGACUGCCGGUAAUAAACCGGAGGAAGGUGGGGAUGACGUCAAAUCAUCAUGCCCCUUAUGACCUGGGCUACACACGUGCUACAAUGGUUGGUACAACGAGUUGCGAGUCGGUGACGGCAAGCUAAUCUCUUAAAGCCAAUCUCAGUUCGGAUUGUAGGCUGCAACUCGCCUACAUGAAGUCGGAAUCGCUAGUAAUCGCGGAUCAGCACGCCGCGGUGAAUACGUUCCCGGGCCUUGCACACACCGCCCGUC
rnacentral:rRNA from 1 species